rnacentral:rRNA from 1 species
UGAGGGAAUAUUGGUCAAUGGGCGGGAGCCUGAACCAGCCAAGUCGCGUGAGGGAGGAAGGUCCUACGGAUUGUAAACCUCUUUAGCCGGGGAGCAACGUGCGCCACGUGUGGCGCAGUGAGAGUACCCGGAGAAUAAGCAUCGGCUAACUCCGUGCCAGCAGCCGCGGUAAUACGGAGGAUGCGAGCGUUAUCCGGAUUUAUGGGUUUAAAGGGUGCGCAGGCGGCGCGAAAAGUCAGCGGUCAAAGUUCCGGGCUCAACCCGGUGACGCCGUUGAAACUUUCGGGCUGGAGUUCGUGCGAGGGAGGCGGAAUGCGUUGUGUAGCGGUGAAAUGCAU